UAGAACGUGUGAUACUUAGUCCUCACACUUUCAUUCAUCAUAAUUUUUAACUCGAACUUCUUAAAUUGUUGUAAUCAAAUCUCACAACCCUUUUUUUGAACUAAUUAUUGAUGAAUUGCCAAUAUAGAAAUGAUAUAAUAAUUAUUACUGCAUCAUCAAUUAUGAUCCAGCGCACCAGCACUAAUAAUUUAAUAGAUCUAAAUAAUCAGUCCAAAAUGGUUAAGCACAAAUUAUUAAUUUUAGUGUGUUCGGGACAUAUAAGCCCCUUGCACAUCACAUACUCUCCCGUUUUAAGCCUUAGGGUAUGUUUGGUUUGCUUCUUUUUCACCCUGGAAUCGAAAUCGGAAUGGAUAAAUUCGUUUGUGGGUGUUUGGUACGCGGGAGUCCCAUUCCGAUUCUGAUUUCCGAGUGGAAUGGGAUCCCCCAAUCACCUUUUUUUUCAAUCCGGUCUAGGAGGCCGGAUUGAAAAUUGAAUCCGGACGGAAUGGAUAUUUAUUCGGAUUAAAUUUAUUUUUUCAACUUUUUUAACUAAAUUAUGAGUUAAAAUUUAAAAAUUAAAUAUAUAAUUUUAAAUUUUAAU
rnacentral:lncRNA from 1 species